rnacentral:siRNA from 1 species
UCUUUGGGCGUAUCCGUACGGACA